rnacentral:rRNA from 1 species
GUAGUUGACUCCGUGGCUCAGGACACGCUGGCGGCGUGCUUAACACAUGCAAGUCGAACGGAAAGGCCCUUCGGGGUACUCGAGUGGCGAACGGGUGAGUAACACGUGGGUGAUCUGCCCUGCACUUUGGGAUAAGCCUGGGAAACUGGGUCUAAUACCGAAUAGGACCACGCGCUUCAUGGUGUGUGGUGGAAAGCGUUUUGCGGUGUGGGAUGGGCCCGCGGCCUAUCAGCUUGUUGGUGGGGUAAUGGCCUACCAAGGCGACGACGGGUAGCCGGCCUGAGAGGGUGACCGGCCACACUGGGACUGAGAUACGGCCCAGACUCCUACGGGAGGCAGCAGUGGGGAAUAUUGCACAAUGGGCGCAAGCCUGAUGCAGCGACGCCGCGAGGGAUGACGGCCUUCGGGUUGUAAACCUCUUUCAAUAGGGACGAAGCGCAAGUGACGGUACCUAUAGAAGAAGCACCGGCCAACUACGUG